GACGAACGCUGGCGGCGUGCCUAAUACAUGCAAGUCGAACGCUGAAGCUUGGUGCUUGCCCCGAGCGGAUGAGUUGCGAACGGGUGAGUAACGCGUAGGUAACCUGCCUGGUAGCGGGGGAUAACUAUUUGAAACGAUAGCUAAUACCGCAUAAGAGUAGAUGUUGCAUGACAUUUGCUUAAAAGGUGCAAUUGCAUCACUACCAGAUGGACCUGCGUUGUAUUAGCUAGUUGGUGAGGUAACGGCUCACCAAGGCAACGAUACAUAGCCGACCUGAGAGGGUGAUCGGCCACACUGGGACUGAGACACGGCCCAGACUCCUACGGGAGGCAGCAGUAGGGAAUCUUCGGCAAUGGACGGAAGUCUGACCGAGCAACGCCGCGUGAGUGAAGAAGGUGUUCGGAUCGUAAAGCUCUGUUGUAAGAGAAGAACGGGUGUGAGAGAGGAAAGUGCACACUGGGAGGGAAUCAAACCAGAAAGGGACGGCUAACUACGG
rnacentral:rRNA from 1 species